GGGGACCCUGGAUACUGGCUUGCUGGAGUGAGAUGGAGGGAAGCGGAAUCUAACGUGUAACGGUGAAAUGUGUAGAUAUGUGGAGGAACACCGGUGGCGAAAGCGGCUUCCUGGAACUCAUCUGACGCUGAGGCGCGAAAGCUGGGGGGAGCGAACAAGAUUAGAUACCCUGGUAGCCUGGCCGUAAAACUAUGAGAACUAGUUGUGGGGUUCCUCCCUCCCUUCCGUGCCGCACCGAAAGUGUUAAUUGUUCCGCCUGGGGAGUACGGCCGCAGGGUUGAAACUCAAAGGAAUUGACGGGGGCCCGCACAAGCGGUGGAGUAUGUGGUUUAAUUCGAAGCAACGCGAAGAACCUUUACCAGGGCUUGAAAUGGAUGGAAGUCCGCUGAAAGGCGUCUGCUCUCUCUUAGACACAAGACAGGUGUGUGCUGGCUUGCCUUCAACUCGAGUCGUGGCAUGAUAGGUUGAGUUCCGCCACGAGCCGUAACCCCUACUUUCAGUUGUCAGCCAGUAAAGUCGGGUGCUCUCGCUAGACUGCCUGGUCACUGAUCCACACGAAGGAUCGGUAUGCAUGACAAGCCAUUCUGCCCUUGUUUUACAUUGGGCUACUACACAGGACUAGCAUAGGACUGGUACAUUACCGCAGCGCUAUCGCACUCAGCACGGAGCGGGAUCACAUCCAAGAUAGUCGCCCGUCCGCUACCGAUAGUCGUCACCCAGCUCUGACGUGAAU
rnacentral:rRNA from 1 species